ACACAAUUUCCCACCAUCAUGUGAACUGAGAUCACUUCGAAGUUCCAGCAGAGAAGAAAACAACAAUACGAGUGAAACAAUAAAUCAAAGAACGACCAACGACUCCAUGGGCAGUUGAGGACAAACAGAUGCCCAUCAUGCAAUUCUCAUUUCCUGCUCUGGCUCUGGUAGAGGACAAACCAGUCUCAUCCUAUACAUCAUGUCUGAUUUUCCUUGUUCCCGUGCCUGUAUGAUCCAUCUGUGCCCAGCAGGUACAGAAUAAAAAAAAAAAGAGAUAUUAUCUAAAAACCAAAAAUAAUUUGGUUUUACUGCAGUGCAUGGACCUUUAUUAUAUCGCCGGACUCAAAUAUAGCUCAUGAUAUGUAAAACAGUUCAACAGAUUGUAAUUUAUGACAGCCAGAGGUAGUAGGAUGCAAGUGCUGAGUGGAUUUAUGAAGGAUUUUCCAGGAAUUGUUCCCUGAACAGACAGGACGGUUAAGAAGAUAAGCAGAUCUGCAGCCAUAAAUUCAAGAAUCGAUCCCCCAUGAGGAGCUGGAAUUUAUGGCUGGUGAUAGAGAAGUCUGGACUGACCUGUUCAGCCACCAAGCAAAGAGGAGGUAGGAUGAA